UUCGGGAAUGGACAUAGAUACAAGCUAGCGGCGGAUGGGGUGAGUAACGCGUGGGUAACCCUGCCCUUAAGUCUGGGAUACCAUUUGGAAAACAGAUGCUAAUACCGGAUAAAAAGCUACUUUCGCAUGAAAGAAAGUUUAAAAAGGCGGCGUAAGCUGUCGCUAAAGGAUGGACCUGCGAUGCAUUAGCUAGUUGGUAAGGUAACGGCUUACCAAGGCGAUGAUGCAUAGCCGAGUUGAGAGACUGAUCGGCCACAUUGGGACUGAGACACCGGACCCAAACUCCUACGGGAGGCAGCAGUAGGGAAUUUCCACAAUGGACGCAAGUCUGAUGGAGCAACGCCGCGUGAGUGAAGAAGGUUUUCGGAUCGUAAAGCUCUGUUGUUGGUGAAGAAGGAUAGAGGUAGUAACUGGCCUUUAUUUGACGGUAAUCAACCAGAAAGUCACGGCUAACUACGUGCCAGCAGCCGCGGUAAAU
rnacentral:rRNA from 1 species